rnacentral:rRNA from 1 species
GCUAAGAAUAUUCCGCAAUGGACGAAAGUCUGACGGAGCGACGCCGCGUGGAUGAAGAAGGCCGAAAGGUUGUAAAAUUCUUUUGUCGGGGAAGAAUAACCAUGGGAGGGAAUGCCCGUGGGAUGACAUGAACCGGCGAAUAAGCCCCGGCUAACUUCGUGCCAGCAGCCGCGGUAAUACGAAGGGGGCUAGCGUUGUUCGGAAUCACUGGGCGUAAAGCGCACGUAGGCGGACCAUUAAGUCAGGGGUGAAAGCCUGGAGCUCAACUCCAGAACUGCCUUUGAUACUGAUGGUCUCGAGUAUGGAAGAGGUUGGUGGAACUGCGAGUGUAGAGGUGAAAUUCGUAGAUAUUCGCAAGAACACCGGUGGCGAAGGCGGCCAACUGGUCCAUUACUGACGCUGAGGUGCGAAAGCGUGGGGAGCAAACAGGAUUAGAAACCCUUGUAGUCC